rnacentral:rRNA from 1 species
GACGAACGCUGGCGGCGUGCUUAACACAUGCAAGUCGAACGGAAAGGCUCUGCUAUUGUGGGGUGCUCGAAUGGCGAACGGGUGCGUAACACGUGAGUAACCUGCCCUUGACUUUGGGAUAACUUCACGACACUGGGGCUAAUACCGGAUAGGAGCCCCCCCUGCAUUGUGGGGGUUGGAAAGUUUCGGCGGUCGGGGAUGGAAUCGCGGCUAUCCGCUUGUUGGGGGGGGAGUGGCAUACGAAGGCGUUGACGGGUAGCCCGCCUGAGAGGGGGACCUGCCACAUUGGGACUGAGGUACGGCCCGGACUCGUACGGGGGGCAGCGGUGGGGGAUUUUGCACAAUGGUCGGAAGCCUGAUGCAGCAACGCCGCGUGCGGGAUGACGGCCUUCGGGUUGUAAACCGCUUUCGCCUGUGACGAAGCGUUAGUGACGGUAAUGGGUAAAGAAGCACGGGCUAACUACGUG